AGCGAACGCUGGCGGCAGGCUUAACACAUGCAGGUCGAGCGGGCAUCUUCGGGUGUCAGCGGCGGACGGGUGAGUAACGCGUGGGAACGUGCCUUCUGGUUCGGAAUAACUCAGGGAAACUUGAGCUAAUACCGGAUACGCCCUUUUGGGGAAAGGUUUACUGCCGGAAGAUCGGCCCGCGUCUGAUUAGUUAGUUGGUGGGGUAACGGCUUGCCAAGGCGACGAUCAGUAGCUGGUCUGAGAGGAUGAUCAGCCACACUGGGACUGAGACACGGCCCAGACUCCUACGGGAGGCAGCAGUGGGGAAUAUUGGACAAUGGGGGCAACCCUGAUCCAGCCAUGCCGCGUGAGUGAUGAAGGCCUUAGGGUUGUAAAGCUCUUUUAUCCGGGACGAUAAUGACGGUACCGGAGGAAUAAGCCCCGGCUAACUUCGUGCCAGCAGCCGCCGUAA
rnacentral:rRNA from 1 species